AUGGCCACUUUUCCCUUCGAUCCAGUCCCUUUCCUCCCCACUGGCCAUCAAGCCAUCAAAGUGGAAGGUCGCCCGGCUCGCCAUCACAUCAUCCAUGGCAAUCUCUCCCCCGCCAAUGAAGACCUCGCCAUUGCAACCAUCAUCCCAAUGCCCCAAGGUGAAGUUGCUUUCCAAAAUGUUCGAGAGAUUCUUAUGGAGUUCUUGCAGUCUAGGCGUAUUGGGGUUGUUUCUAUCUCCAAGUGCCCUUUCGGUCAGGUGUUUGUCCGAGUUGCUAGUGCUGCUGACCGGGAUUUGCUUGUGAAUCGUGGCCCGCAUCUAUAUGAUGACGUUCAUAUUGUGUUUCAGAGGCACAAUGAGGGCCUGAAUUGGAAAAACUUUAACCUUCAUAGGGAUGUGUGGAUUAUGGUUUUUGGUUUCCCAGUAGAUCUUAGAAAUUUCCAUGAGCUCUCCAAUGCUACUGCUGGUUUUGGGUUGCUAUUAGUAUGGGAUCGUACCAAGUCAUCUGAUGCGGAUGUGGCUCUGAAGUUCAAGAUUGAGGCAUUAAAAGAUGUUCCUUCGAGUUUGGUUGUGACUGGAGUUAAGAGAGAAUUCUUGGAGUUGAAUGAUCUGUUGGCACCUUUGGAAGAAAAUAUCCAGCUGCCCAAUGACAGUGGUCUAACUUUAUCUCUAGGUCUGCCCAACUCUAAUGCCAGUUCUGCUGCUUCUGCAAAUGGAGGGCCUCCUAUGGACAUUAAUGAAUUACUGAUUCCCUUAGUUCUUCCUGUUGAGCAUCACCAUCCAAUUGACUUGGAUCUUAACCAGCCAAUUGAGCAAACCCAGCUCCCUCAGCAGCCUAAGCUGUUUGGCCAAGACAUGGAUUCACUCUCAAAAGAAGGACUGGAUCUUUGGAACAAGCAUUUCGCACCUAUUGAUUCAUCUGACAAGGUUGUGCAGGUACCACCUGAAUGGUGUAAAUUUAUCAUUGUGGCUCUAUUAACUCCUGAUAAUUUUGAGUGGGCUAAAGAUCUUCUACCAGAAAUUUCCUCUAAGAUAAAUGUCUCCACUCCUUAG
rnacentral:rRNA from 1 species